rnacentral:rRNA from 1 species
AGAGUUUGAUCAUGGCUCAGAUUGAACGCUGGCGGCAGGCCUAACACAUGCAAGUCGAACGGUAACAGGAAGCAGCUUGCUGCUUUGCUGACGAGUGGCGGACGGGUGAGUAAUGUCUGGGAAACUGCCUGAUGGAGGGGGAUAACUACUGGAAACGGUAGCUAAUACCGCAUAACGUCGCAAGACCAAAGAGGGGGACCUUCGGGCCUCUUGCCAUCAGAUGUGCCCAGAUGGGAUUAGCUUGUUGGUGGGGUAACGGCUCACCAAGGCGACGAUCCCUAGCUGGUCUGAGAGGAUGACCAGCCACACUGGAACUGAGACACGGUCCAGACUCCCUACGGGAGGCAGCAGUGGGGAAUAUUGCACAAUGGGCGCAAGCCUGAUGCAGCCAUGCCGCGUGUAUGAAGAAGGCCUUCGGGUUGUAAAGUACUUUCAGCGGGGAGGAAGGUGUUGUGGUUAAUAACCACAGCAAAUUGACGUUACCCGCAGAAGAAGCACCGGCUAACUCCGUGCCAGCAGCCGCGGUAAUACGGAGGGUGCAAGCGUUAAUCGGAAUUACUGGGCGUAAAGCGCACGCAGGCGGUCUGUUAAGUCAGAUGUGAAAUCCCCGGCUCAACCUGGGAACUGCAUCUGAUACUGGCAGGCUUGAGUCUCGUAGAGGGGGGUAGAAUUCCAGGUGUAGCGGUGAAAUGCGUAGAGAUCUGGAGGAAUACCGGUGGCGAAGGCGGCCCCCUGGACGAAGACUGACGCUCAGGUGCGAAAGCGUGGGAGCAAACAGGAUUAGAUACCCUGGUAGUCCACGCCGUAAACGAUGUCGACUUGGAGGUUGUGCCCUUGAGGCGUGCUUCCGGAGCUAACGCGUUAAGUCGACCGCCUGGGGAGUACGGCCGCAAGGUUAAAACUCAAAUGAAUUGACGGGGGCCCGCACAAGCGGUGGAGCAUGUGGUUUAAUUCGAUGCAACGCGAAGAACCUUACCUGGUCUUGACAUCCACGGAAGUUUUCAGAGAUGAGAAUGUGCCUUCGGGAACCGUGAGACAGGUGCUGCAUGGCUGUCGUCAGCUCGUGUUGUGAAAUGUUGGGUUAAGUCCCGCAACGAGCGCAACCCUUAUCCUUUGUUGCCAGCGGUCCGGCCGGGAACUCAAAGGAGACUGCCAGUGAUAAACUGGAGGAAGGUGGGGGAUGACGUCAAGUCAUCAUGGCCCUUACGACCAGGGCUACACACGUGCUACAAUGGCAUAUACAAAGAGAAGCGACCUCGCGAGAGCAAGCGGACCUCAUAAAGUAUGUCGUAGUCCGGAUUGGAGUCUGCAACUCGACUCCAUGAAGUCGGAAUCGCUAGUAAUCGUGGAUCAGAAUGCCACGGUGAAUACGUUCCCGGGCCUUGUACACACCGCCCGUCACACCAUGGGAGUGGGUUGCAAAAGAAGUAGGUAGCUUAACCUUCGGGAGGGCGCUUACCACUUUGUGAUUCAUGACUGGGGUGAAGUCGUAACAAGGUAACCGUAGGGGAACCUGCGGUUGGAUCACCU